GUACUUUGACAGCAUAUAUACUAAAAUUGGAAUGAUACAGAGAAGAUUAGCAUGGCCCCUGUGUGAGGAUAACAUGCAAAUUUGUGAAACAUUCCAUAUUUUU
ensembl:snRNA U6 U6 spliceosomal RNA